GAGUAUGGGAUCUGUAGUAAACGUGCUUGGAGAACUCCUAUCCUGGAAAAAAUAUCUGAUCAUUCUGGAAUGAAUUGAAAAUACACAAAUGAAGGCCAGGAGAAAAGGCUCAGCUGGCAUUACUGAAAGCUACCCCUAUUAGCUUAUCUUCCUGCAAAAAGAUAUGCAUCUUCAUCAUCAAGACUGGAGCAUAUAACCAAAGGUAUAUGACAGGUUGUCUUUAUCUUGGUUCAAGUAUCUAACCAGAGAUGAAGACCUCAAGGAAGGCUGUGGUCUGGUCUAUUGAAAGAGCACAAGGACAAAUUCAGUGAAGGUUUCCACAAAUAAAUGAGGAUUACUUCUUUUAAGGACUCCACAGCACUAGAAUCAGCAAAUACAG